AUGAACGCUGGCGGCGUGCCUAAUACAUGCAAGUCGAGCGAACGGACGAGAAGCUUGCUUCUCUGAUGUUAGCGGCGGACGGGUGAGUAACACGUGGAUAACCUACCUAUAAGACUGGGAUAACUUCGGGAAACCGGAGCUAAUACCGGAUUAUAUUUUGAACCGCAUGGUUCAAAAGUGAAAGACGGUCUUGCUGUCACUUAUAGAUGGAUCCGCGCUGCAUUAGCUAGUUGGUAAGGUAACGGCUUACCAAGGCAACGAUGCAUAGCCGACCUGAGAGGGUGAUCGGCCACACUGGAACUGAGACACGGUCCAGACUCCUACGGGAGGCAGCAGUAGGGAAUCUUCCGCAAUGGGCGAAAGCCUGACGGAGCAACGCCGCGUGAGUGAUGAAGGUCUUCGGAUCGUAAAACUCUGUUAUUAGGGAAGAACAUAUGUGUAAGUAACCGUGCACAUCUUGACGGUACCUAAUCAGAAAGCCACGGCUAACUACGUG
rnacentral:rRNA from 1 species